rnacentral:rRNA from 1 species
UACAGAGGUGGCAAGCGUUGUUCGGAAUUACUGGGCGUAAAGGGCGCGUAGGCGGUUCGGUAAGUCCUGUGUGAAAUCCCUCGGCUCAACUGAGGAACUGCACGGGAGACUGCCGGGCUUGAGUUCGGGAGAGGGAAGCGGAAUUCCGGGUGUAGUGGUGAAAUGCGUAGAGAUCGGGAGGAACACCAGUGGCGAAGGCGGCUCGCUGGGCCGGUCCUGACACUGAGACGCGAAGGCGUGGGGAGCGAACGGG